ensembl:snRNA U6 U6 spliceosomal RNA
GUGGCUUCGGCAACACAUAUACUAAAAUUGGAACGAUACAGAGAAGAUUAGCAUGGCCCUUGCUCAAGGGUGACACACAAAUUUGUGAAGCAUUUCAUAUUUUU